rnacentral:rRNA from 1 species
GAUUAACGCUGGCGGCAUGCCUAAUACAUGCAAGUCGAACGGAAGCAGCAAUGCUUUAGUGGCGAACGGGUGAGUAACACGUAGGGAACCUACCUAUACGACGAGGAUAACUACUGGAAACGGUAGCUAAAACUGGAUAGGAUCAAUUGAGGCAUCUUGAUUGAUUUAAAGAUCCUUCGGGAUUACGUAGAGAUGGCCCUGCGGCGCAUUAGCUAGUUGGUGAGGUAACGGCCCACCAAGGCGACGAUGCGUAGCUGAGCUGAGAGGCUAAACAGCCACACUGGGACUGAGACACGGCCCAGACUCCUACGGGAGGCAGCAGUAGGGAAUUUUCGGCAAUGGGGGAAACCCUGACCGAGCAACGCCGCGUGAGUGACGAAGGCCU